rnacentral:rRNA from 1 species
AUUGAACGCUGGCGGCAUGCCUUACACAUGCAAGUCGAACGGCAGCACGGGGCAACCUGGUGGCGAGUGGCGAACGGGUGAGUAAUGCAUCGGAACGUGCCAUUGAGUGGGGGAUAACGUAGCGAAAGUUGCGCUAAUACCGCAUAUUCUGUGAGCAGGAAAGCAGGGGACCGCAAGGCCUUGCGCUCUUUGAGCGGCCGAUGUCAGAUUAGCUAGUUGGUGAGGUAAAGGCUUACCAAGGCGACGAUCUGUAGCGGGUCUGAGAGGAUGAUCCGCCACACUGGAACUGAGACACGGUCCAGACUCCUACGGGAGGCAGCAGUGGGGAAUUUUGGACAAUGGGCGCAAGCCUGAUCCAGCCACGCCGCGUGAGUGAAGAAGGCCUCGGUU